UCCCUAUUUUAAUGCAUCCCUUCUGUUAACAGCCUCCAGUACCAGACAACUUCGAAGUGAGAUAUUACCCACAAGAGAAUGCAGCUAACAUCGAGUUGAUUAAGCCUGUGAACUACAACGAUGUUCAACGGUACAUCUUCAUCGUGGAAGCUAAAGAUAUAGGAGGACUCAGUGACACAACAACAGUUACACUAACGAUUGAAGAUUUUGACAACCUAAACCCUUAUUUUGAUCACUGUCUCUACAAGGCAUCCAUUGAGGAAAAUCAGGUAGGACUCUUCUCGGACAUCACUCCCGAGCCCAUAAAAGCUCAAGAUGGUGACACGGGCAUCAACGAGCCUGUAGUUUACAGCAUAACAUCAGUCAUUCCAAAUGAAUAUCAGAACAGCUUUGAUAUCGACCGAAACAGUGGGGUCAUCUCUGUGACGACGGCACUAGACAGAGAGCAAACAGGGCAGAUUGCUGUUUUCAUACAGGCAGCUCAGCAGGAUGACGCCAGUAAGACGGCUGAUGCUGUUGUACUCGUCACCAUUGUGGAUGUGAUUGACAACCUGCCGAAAUUUGACCAGGGGGUCCAUUCUUCACACCUUGCUUAAUACAUGCGAGAUGAUCUUACAGAUGUCAGAUCUUUUAAUCAUGAUAACUGAUUUCUGGCUGAUUUGUUUCUUCAAGCAAGUUAGCAGAUUUGAUUAAAAUGUCUGGAUUAAGUUGUCUGA